rnacentral:rRNA from 1 species
AUUGAACGCUGGCGGCAGGCCUAACACAUGCAAGUCGGACGGUAGCACAGAGAGCUUGCUCUCGGGUGACGAGUGGCGGACGGGUGAGUAAUGUCUGGGGAUCUGCCCGAUAGAGGGGGAUAACCACUGGAAACGGUGGCUAAUACCGCAUAACGUCGCAAGACCAAAGAGGGGGACCUUCGGGCCUCUCACUAUCGGAUGAACCCAGAUGGGAUUAGCUAGUAGGCGGGGUAAUGGCCCACCUAGGCGACGAUCCCUAGCUGGUCUGAGAGGAUGACCAGCCACACUGGAACUGAGACACGGUCCAGACUCCUACGGGAGGCAGCAGUGGGGAAUAUUGCACAAUGGGCGCAAGCCUGAUGCAGCCAUGCCGCGUGUAUGAAGAAGGCCUUCGGGUUGUAAAGUACUUUCAGCGGGGAGGAAGGCGGUGCGGUUAAUAAUCGCGCCGAUUGACGUUACCCGCAGAAGAAGCACCGGCUAACUCCGUGCCAGCAGCCGCCGUAAUAC